UUGUGUGAUGACUGUCUGUUGUGUUGCCUCAUGUUUGCUAAUAAAUCCCACGUUACCCGACUACCGCUUCUGUCCUGCUUGCCCCGCUCCGUGCCCGAGCGAAACGCCAUGACAUAUAUUUUUGUAAAAAUUUUUGUAAUCCUGGCAGUUCCUCAUAAUUUAAGUAGUUACGUUAAUGUGUAUAUUUCCUAAUCUCGUGUCAGUGAAUUGCGAAACCUAAUGUUUGUAAUGUUGUUUGUAAGCUUAUCUUGCUAUGGACAUUCCUGUCGAUGUUCUUUUACCAUACUUUCUAUAAUUAUUCAUUAUCGCUAACAAAAAAGAAAUAUGAACUGCAGGAGUACUAGUACUUUUUACAACGAUUGAAGAGUUGCAACCUUUAAUUUUCAGACGUGAGAGACUUCACUGAGGAAAUACGAUAAAAAGACAUCUCAAAUUUUGUAUAAACGGGGUCCGGCUGGCUGAGGAUGCGGCGACGGUGUCUCUGGGAGGUCAUUCAGGUGCUGGCUGAAGGAUGGCUAAAUGACUGAUGAUUACAGGAGGAUGGCUUUUGCUAGAAAUCCACGUCCAUCCAUCCAUUUUCUGUACCCGCUUGUCCUACGCAGGGUCAUGAGGGGUGCAAAACCCAUCCCAGAAGCUACCGGUACAGGCAGAGAACUACCCCAACCCACUUCAGCAAAUCCUUACCCAACUCCCUCCAUCCAUCCAUCCAUAAUGAAGGAAUCAUUCUUUUGAACUGGUUCUUUUCAGCAUAUCGGUCAAACGGUAUUUCAAAUCCAAAAGAAUCCAUCUUUUGUACAUCCACAUAUUGCACAGGUCAAAGUCUUAGAUUCUAAUAAUAUAUAAAUUAUCAUAUAAAAACAGCCUCUUUUAAUUCACUUACAUUUGCUUUUCAUAGACUGUCUGUAGCCAUGUUGCCUUCAGUGCCCCUCUGCAUAACGUAAUCUGUUGUAUUUCUGCUGUGUCCCUGCUUGGUUUUUCAGUAACACAUUAGUCGUGUUAUAGCAGGACUGACUGUAAAUGGAAAAAUACAUUUUAAUUUAGGAUAAAUACAGUUGAUUCCCAUUUCAGCAGAAUACCCAGUUUUGUUUUCAAUAUCAUUACCAUCUACAAAAAACAAGUGAAACAUAUUAGGGAUGAUUUACUCUGUAAAUAUGGAUCCAGCAAGAGACAUAGAGGAAGAAAGUGGUUGGGGGGGGGGGGGGAACAAAUACAUGGAAGAAUAAGAGGAAGCUAUGCGAUUGGAAUAAGAGCAACAGUGAAUGUCUGAAGCCAGAGAAGGAGCAGCCUUGUAGUGUUUGCGGCUUUAUCCAAAGGCAACUUGGUGUCACACCAAGCAGACAUCGACCCAAACGGCACAAGGCACCUCAUCCCGUUCUUAGAUGAGCAAGAUGGAAGAGAGAGAUGGAGUGAGAAGAAACGUGCAGCCCUUUGCUGUUCUGUGGUGUAACAUGACAUGUCACCUCCCCGCUGCAGUCACAGGCUUCUUUGUGGCACCUCCCUGGAUGUCCUCACUUAUCCUGUCAACACGCUCCCCCUUCCACAACCGAAAAUUAAGGAUAUAUUUACAGUGUGGAGUAAACUAAAUGCCCAUAUUGGAUGCCAUGAAUGCUGGAUGGGUAAAUAUAUUUAUCCUGAGAAAAGCAGAGAUUGGAUUAGGCAUGGUAAAGGACACCUUCGCAGGUUUAACGCCAGGGAAGAGAGGAGAAGAAAUGUGGGUGAGAACUUGUGGCUAAAUCCAGGAGUAAUGGUGGGCUAGCAGUAUUAUAUAUGUGUAUGUGAGUGCGUGUGUGUGUGUGUGUGUGUGGAUGUGGUCAUGUUUGUGUUACAUUUUGAGGACCAAAUCCUCAGAAUGUGAUAAAAAAAAAACUUAUAUUAACAUUUUUUUUUUUUCGGUUCCCACAAGAGGAAACUCAGUUUUAAAAAGAUCUGUCAAUGCAAAUCUAAAAAUGACUUGUAUUUUGUUUGGUUGCUUGUUUGGUUAGGGCUGGGUAGAGUUAAGUUUGUCAUUUGAGGAUUAGAGCUUUCCCCAGACAAAUGAAUUGAGAGUCCCCACAAAAAUAUAAUUACAAACCUGUAUGUGUGUGCAUGCAAGAACGUUGAAGCAUAUUGCAGCAUUUCCAAUUCAGUCCUGAAAUGUAUAGUAUAACACAUUCUAUAGAGGCAUAAGGUGUUACUCUCUAACAGCGCAUUUAUUUAUGCGAAAAAUUUAACAUACCUCAAAGGCAAAAUGAGGCAUCUUUUACUCCUCCCCAUUGCUAGCGUUUUUAGGUCAAUGUGUUAUGUGUGACAAAGUACGCUUGUCGGCUAAGAACUCCUGGCGGUGUUUGGUAGAAUGACUAUUUUGAGACAUGCAUAAAGUAUUUUGGUGGUUCAAUGCAUGUUGGAGGUGAGAUUAACUAUUGGGCCAUGUUGGUAAUGCACGCUGUGUGAAGAGUUUUUAAAGAAUGAUUGCAGUAUUGAUAAACAUGUGUUAGUAGUACUGUAAAACUGUAAAAACUACUUUUUGUGUUAGCAAUUACGAGGGGAAAAUGAUAUAAGUGUCUAAUUUAUUUAUGGUGGCAGGUUACUGUUUCCUGGAAAAUAAAACAGAUUCUGUAGAGGUAUUUUCCAAUUGCAAUUAAAAGAAGUGAAUUGUGAAGCUUUAACAAUAAGACUGGACAGUACAAUCAAAAAUAUUUCCUGAAAUUGGCAACUGUGAAAAAUUAACUUAUUUGGCAUCCCAUGGUAGAAAAAUUGCCAUGAAAAUAGCAGAUGGUAAUGAUUAUACUCAGCCCUCCCAAUGUUCCCUUUAUCACAAAACACCAGUGAAUGCAGGUUUAGGAAAAAAGAAAGCUAAAUAAGGAAGCUGUAGCUCUAUCGCCCCACUGGACGAAAUGCUCUUUUGUUGUUGGUUUUAUGUGCAGGCAAUGAGGUGUGUUGUGAGGCAGUCAUUGGCUCCAGUUAAUGAUUCUGUCUGUCAUUGAAGGGGACAUAGAGCGUGGCACCCCAGAGUUGCUGUAAACAGUGACAGGUUCUCCUAAGUCAUGUCCAUUAUACCGAUGGAGACUUCACUGUUCUGUCUGCUGUCUUAUGUUAUUCAUUGCCCCAUGGUCAUAAGGGGUACCGGUAAGUGGGUCUUAUGGGGAAUAGUGAUAUUGUGGAUAUAAGAUGUGGUUUUGCCUUGUUUAUCAGUUACGGAAAUGAGAAAAGUCUCUCCUUCCUGGGUGUUUAGAUGAGCUUGGGGUUCAUCACUAAAUGUUGACGUUAUUUCAAGCCUGGGAGCCUCUUGCCUCGCCUACAGUGUGCGAGGUUCCAUCUCAUGAUGAAAGGAACAGACGGAGUUGCGACGUGUGUUGUUCAGCUUGACAGCAGUUCAGUGAGCUGCAGAUAUUAUUGCCUUUAAUUGCGUUAUCAGCAAAAAAUAGCACAUGAAGUUUUACUUUAUACUUCCACAACCAAGCAAGCUUAGCGAGAUUUCUUGCUCAAAAUAUUAAUAUCCCCUCUAGCCCCUCCAGUCUUUCAUCAAGUGUUAACAGGAUCCCAGUUCAACAGUAAACUUUUUUGAAUUCCAGGACAACAUGAAAUCUUAAUUAAUAAAACUUGUUGCAAGACAAGGUGCUUUCCGAGAUAUACUGUACUGGCAGAACUUGUAUACAGUCUAUAAUUUCUCUUAUAGCUUCUUAGAACACACUAGAAGGAAAAUAGCUCUUAAAAAAAUCCUAAAUAUUAAAAUUAGACUGUUAAUUUCCAUUGCAUGCUUGUUCCCUCCAUAUCUCAGAGACAUUCUAUUCAAGUGAAAGAAUGUACCUAAGGUGCUGUAGGAAAUAGUGUGUGAAUGCGUGUGUACGUGUGCAUCAGUGACUUGUGACUGCCUUGUGCCCCUACGUCAGAUGUGUUGCUGUCUUCAAAAGGCUCUGGCUGACUGUUACCUCUCGAGGAUAAAGACAUCUGUGGAAGUGAUUGAGUGAGAACGUUCAGCUAGGGAAUUUCACUUAGCGGCGUUCAGGGGCUAUUCUUUACCCGAGGCUAACGUGGGCCAGGCUUACAAAAGCAGAUGGGAAGGAGUAGCAAGCUAGCCGCAGGCUAUUCUUAAACCUGAAUUUAGGCAUUGAAGCCAAAAGUUUAUUAAAUUGCUGUCAGUGUUAUCAAAAUAGAACACCGAGUUAUCAGCUGUCUGUGUUAUCCUCUCCAAAAUGAUCCUCCCACUUUUAUAAUAUGAGGUCAUAAUUUACUCAGUGCUUCAACAGACUACUCCCCCAAAUAAUAAUUAAUAAUGACUGCCAAAUCAAUGUUAAUGACACACAAAGUGGUCCUUGAAAGAGUAUUCUACCUUGAAAAACUAUAAAUAAUUCAUGGUCAUACGGAAUGGAAAUCCAUGAGCUUGGUCAAAACCAUUGAAAUUAUUGUUUGCGGCUAUAAGCAAUCGUUCCUCUGAGCUUGUGUGUAAAAAUCCCAGUUACGCAGUGAGUUUUAUCAAUAAAUAAAGAUGGUGACUGGUGGUUUGGAGGUAGAGAUGGGUGGAGUUCAUGAAAGGACAGCUUGAGAGAAGGUGUAACCUGCAAGGGAAGGGAACGGAGAGACCCAAAUGCAGCGCUGGAAAUCUGAGGCAGGGGUUUGCAGGGAUCCGAGAUUUCACAGGCGUAGCCUGACAACAAGCAGCGGAAAGCACAGGAUGCAGCAUAUAGCUGUGUGUCUGGAGUGGCAUCAAUCAUGCAGUUCUGGGGAGUUCGAAUAAAUACUGCAUGACCUUACAUCACCAUUCUUCCAUACUUUUGUGCGAGAAGUUCUGCUAUCCUUAUAUGUAAUUAUUCUAAGUGUGCUUAUUUGGGAAAAUAAAAGUAUUUACAGUUAACUAUUAAAAGGAAUGAUAGCUCACAAUGGCAUACUUUUCUGGGUGAAAUUCAGACUAGAGUAUAAGCAACCACUUGCUAUGUGAAUACUGUUUUGGUACAAUUUGCUGGAUACUGAAUCUUCAAAUGAAGGGGUAGCAGUGCAGCAUCACAGGCAUAUUCAACGCAGAAAGAUUCUCUA